rnacentral:rRNA from 1 species
AUUGAACGCUGGCGGCAUGCUUUACACAUGCAAGUCGAACGGCAGCGCGGGCUUCGGCCUGGCGGCGAGUGGCGAACGGGUGAGUAAUACAUCGGAACGUGCCCAGUAGUGGGGGAUAGCUCGGCGAAAGCCGGAUUAAUACCGCAUACGACCUGAGGGUGAAAGCGGGGGAUCUUCGGACCUCGCGCUAUUGGAGCGGCCGAUGGCAGAUUAGCUAGUUGGUGGGGUAAAGGCCUACCAAGGCGACGAUCUGUAGCUGGUCUGAGAGGACGACCAGCCACACUGGGACUGAGACACGGCCCAGACUCCUACGGGAGGCAGCAGUGGGGAAUUUUGGACAAUGGGCGAAAGCCUGAUCCAGCAAUGCCGCGUGUGUGAUGAAGGCCUUCGGGUUGUAAAGCACUUUUGGCGGGAACGAAAAGGACUGUGCCAAUACCACGGUUCGAUGACGUUACCCGCAGAAUAAGCACCGGCUAACUACGUG